GACGAACGCUGGCGGCGUGCCUAAUACAUGCAAGUUGAGCGAUGAAGAUUGGUGCUUGCCCCAAUUUGAAGAGCAGCGAACGGGUGAGUAACGCGUGGGGAAUCUGCCUUUGAGCGGGGGACAACAUUUGGAAACGAAUGCUAAUACCGCAUAACAACUUUAAACAUAAGUUUUAAGUUUGAAAGAUGCAAUUGCAUCACUCAAAGAUGAUCCCGCGUUGUAUUAGCUAGUUGGUGAGGUAAAGGCUCACCAAGGCGAUGAUACAUAGCCGACCUGAGAGGGUGAUCGGCCACAUUGGGACUGAGACACGGCCCAAACUCCUAAGGGAGGCAGCAGUAGGGAAUCUUCGGCAAUGGACGAAAGUCUGACCGAGCAACGCCGCGUGAGUGAAGAAGGUGUUCGGAUCGUAAAACUCUGUUGGUAGAGAAGAACGUGGGUGAGAGUGGAAAGCGCAUCAAGUGAGGGUAACGACCCAGAAAGGGACGGCUAACUACGG
rnacentral:rRNA from 1 species